rnacentral:rRNA from 1 species
UACAGAGGUCUCAAGCGUUGUUCGGAUUCAUUGGGCGUAAAGGGUGCGUAGGUGGCGCUGUAAGUCGGGUGUGAAAUUUCGAGGCUUAACCUCGAAACUGCAUUCGAUACUGCGGUGCUUGAGGACUGGAGAGGAGACUGGAAUUCAUGGUGUAGCAGUGAAAUGCGUAGAGAUCAUGAGGAAGACCAGUGGCGAAGGCGGGUCUCUGGGCAGUAACUGACGCUGAGGAACGAAAGCGUGGGUAGCAAACAGG